rnacentral:rRNA from 1 species
UUAGGAAUAUUCGUCAAUGGGGGAAACCCUGAACGAGCAAUGCCGCGUGAGUGAUGGCGGUCCUUUGGAUUGUAAAACUCUGUUGUAUGAAAAAAUGACUAGGUUAGGAAAUGAACCUAGUGUGAUGGUACCAUACCAGAAAGUCCCGGCUAACUACGUGCCAGCAGCCGCGGUAAUACGUAGGGGGCGAGCGUUAUCCGGAUUUAUUGGGCGUAAAGCGUGUGUAGGCGGUUUGUUAAGUUUAAGAUUAAAGCCUGGGGCUCAACUCCAGUUCGUCUUAAAAACUGGCAGACUAGAGUGCGGUAGAGGCAAACGGAAUUUCUAGUGUAGCGGUGAAAUGCGUAGAUAUUAGAAGGAACACCAGUGGCGAAAGCGGUUUGCUGGGCCGUUACUGACGCUGAGGCACGAAAGCGUGGGGAGCAAAUAGGAUUAGAUACCCUGGUAGU